rnacentral:rRNA from 1 species
UACGUAGGGGGCUAGCGUUGUCCGGAAUCAUUGGGCGUAAAGAGCUCGUAGGCGGUUUGUCGCGUCUGCCGUGAAAGUCCGGGGCUCAACUCCGGAUCUGCGGUGGGUACGGGCAGACUAGAGUGAUGUAGGGGAGACUGGAAUUCCUGGUGUAGCGGUGAAAUGCGUAGAUAUCUGGAGGAACACCGGUGGCGAAGGCGACGUCCUGGACCGGCAUUGACGCUGAGGCGCGAAAGCCAGGGGAGCAAACGGG